GGUUAAGCGACUAAGCGUACACGGUGGAUGCCCUGGCAGUCAGAGGCGAUGAAGGACGUGCUAAUCUGCGAUAAGCGCCGGUAAGGUGAUAUGAACCGUUAUAACCGGCGAUUUCCGAAUGGGGAAACCCAGUGUGAUUCGUCACACUAUCAUUAACUGAAUCCAUAGGUUAAUGAGGCGAACCGGGGGAACUGAAACAUCUAAGUACCCCGAGGAAAAGAAAUCAACCGAGAUUCCCCCAGUAGCGGCGAGCGAACGGGGAGGAGCCCAGAGCCUGAAUCAGCAUGUGUGUUAGUGGAAGCGUCUGGAAAGGCGCGCGAUACAGGGUGACAGCCCCGUACACAAAAGCGCAUGUGCUGUGAGCUCGAUGAGUAGGGCGGGACACGUGGUAUCCUGUCUGAAUAUGGGGGGACCAUCCUCCAAGGCUAAAUACUCCUGACUGACCGAUAGUGAACCAGUACCGUGAGGGAAAGGCGAAAAGAACCCCGGCGAGGGGAGUGAAAAAGAACCUGAAACCGUGUACGUACAAGCAGUGGGAGCACCCUUUGGGGUGUGACUGCGUACCUUUUGUAUAAUGGGUCAGCGACUUAUAUUCUGUAGCAAGGUUAACCGUAUAGGGGAGCCGGAGGGAAACCGAGUCUUAACCGGGCGUUAAGUUGCAGGGUAUAGACCCGAAACCCGGUGAUCUAGCCAUGGGCAGGUUGAAGGUUGGGUAACACUAACUGGAGGACCGAACCGACUAAUGUUGAAAAAUUAGCGGAUGACCUGUGGCUGGGGGUGAAAGGCCAAUCAAACCGGGAGAUAGCUGGUUCUCCCCGAAAGCUAUUUAGGUAGCGCCUCGUGAAUUCAUCUCCGGGGGUAGAGCACUGUUUCGGCUAGGGGGCCAUCCCGGCUUACCAACCCGAUGCAAACUGCGAAUACCGGAGAAUGUUAUCACGGGAGACACACGGCGGGUGCUAACGUCCGUCGUGAAGAGGGAAACAACCCAGACCGCCAGCUAAGGUCCCAAAGUCAUGGUUAAGUGGGAAACGAUGUGGGAAGGCCCAGACAGCCAGGAUGUUGGCUUAGAAGCAGCCAUCAUUUAAAGAAAGCGUAAUAGCUCACUGGUCGAGUCGGCCUGCGCGGAAGAUGUAACGGGGCUAAACCAUGCACCGAAGCUGCGGCAGCGACACUGUGUGUUGUUGGGUAGGGGAGCGUUCUGUAAGCCUGUGAAGGUGGCCUGUGAGGGUUGCUGGAGGUAUCAGAAGUGCGAAUGCUGACAUAAGUAACGAUAAAGCGGGUGAAAAGCCCGCUCGCCGGAAGACCAAGGGUUCCUGUCCAACGUUAAUCGGGGCAGGGUGAGUCGACCCCUAAGGCGAGGCCGAAAGGCGUAGUCGAUGGGAAACGGGUUAAUAUUCCCGUACUUGGUGUUACUGCGAAGGGGGGACGGAGAAGGCUAUGUUGGCCGGGCGACGGUUGUCCCGGUUUAAGCGUGUAGGUGUGUGUUCCAGGUAAAUCCGGUUCACUUUAACACUGAGGCGUGAUGACGAGGCACUACGGUGCUGAAGCAACAAAUGCCCUGCUUCCAGGAAAAGCCUCUAAGCAUCAGGUAACAUCAAAUCGUACCCCAAACCGACACAGGUGGUCAGGUAGAGAAUACCAAGGCGCUUGAGAGAACUCGGGUGAAGGAACUAGGCAAAAUGGUGCCGUAACUUCGGGAGAAGGCACGCUGACACGUAGGUGAAGUGAUUUACUCAUGGAGCUGAAGUCAGUCGAAGAUACCAGCUGGCUGCAACUGUUUAUUAAAAACACAGCACUGUGCAAACACGAAAGUGGACGUAUACGGUGUGACGCCUGCCCGGUGCCGGAAGGUUAAUUGAUGGGGUCAGCGCAAGCGAAGCUCCUGAUCGAAGCCCCGGUAAACGGCGGCCGUAACUAUAACGGUCCUAAGGUAGCGAAAUUCCUUGUCGGGUAAGUUCCGACCUGCACGAAUGGCGUAAUGAUGGCCAGGCUGUCUCCACCCGAGACUCAGUGAAAUUGAACUCGCUGUGAAGAUGCAGUGUACCCGCGGCAAGACGGAAAGACCCCGUGAACCUUUACUAUAGCUUGACACUGAACAUUGAGCCUUGAUGUGUAGGAUAGGUGGGAGGCUUUGAAGUGUGGACGCCAGUCUGCAUGGAGCCGGCCUUGAAAUACCACCCUUUAAUGUUUGAUGUUCUAACGUGGACCCGUUACCCGGGUUGCGGACAGUGUCUGGUGGGUAGUUUGACUGGGGCGGUCUCCUCCUAAAGAGUAACGGAGGAGCACGAAGGUUGGCUAAUCCUGGUCGGACAUCAGGAGGUUAGUGCAAUGGCAUAAGCCAGCUUGACUGCGAGCGUGACGGCGCGAGCAGGUGCGAAAGCAGGUCAUAGUGAUCCGGUGGUUCUGAAUGGAAGGGCCAUCGCUCAACGGAUAAAAGGUACUCCGGGGAUAACAGGCUGAUACCGCCCAAGAGUUCAUAUCGACGGCGGUGUUUGGCACCUCGAUGUCGGCUCAUCACAUCCUGGGGCUGAAGUAGGUCCCAAGGGUAUGGCUGUUCGCCAUUUAAAGUGGUACGCGAGCUGGGUUUAGAACGUCGUGAGACAGUUCGGUCCCUAUCUGCCGUGGGCGCUGGAGAACUGAGGGGGGCUGCUCCUAGUACGAGAGGACCGGAGUGGACGCAUCACUGGUGUUCGGGUUGUCAUGCCAAUGGCACUGCCCGGUAGCUAAAUGCGGAAGAGAUAAGUGCUGAAAGCAUCUAAGCACGAAACUUGCCCCGAGAUGAGUUCUCCCUGAGACUUAGAGUCUCCUGAAGGAACGUUGAAGACGACGACGUUGAUAGGCCGGGUGUGUAAGCGCAGCGAUGCGUUGAGCUAACCGGUACUAAUGAACCGUGAGGCUUAACCUU
rnacentral:rRNA from 1 species